UUGUUUCAAUGAUCUGAAAUUAAUGUGUGCAUGAAUUAUUGAGUACGGAUACUUUUACAUUUGAUCAAUGAAUUAUAUCUUAAAUUAUAAUUAAAUCAUAUUAAAUUAAAAUUUAUCUAUAUUUAUUAAAUAAAAUAAAUAAAAAUAAAUAUAUUAGUAUCUAAUCGGGUUUCAGUCCCAAUGGACCAUUUCAAUAGGGCAUCUGCAUGAGGGAGAGG
rnacentral:lncRNA from 1 species